ACUAAACUUGACAAGAUGGAAGGAACUUGUGUUUUAAAUAAACAAAGCUCAAAACACACACACUGUGUGCGUAUUUGAGAUCGACCAGGCCAAAGGAAGAGGGGUAAACCCUAAAUUUCAAGAAAUCUUCAAAUCAAAAAGGGAAUUGAAGGAUUUUAGGAUGCAUGUAUCAAGAUUAUCGAUCUCCUAAGUGUUCUUCACUAUCAAGAUCAUGUCAAGAUGGGGGAAACAUGGAAGGAUACAUAAAGGAUAUGAGGAAGCAUACACGAGACGGGCACUCGAGGUAUCGCUCGGGUUUUCUCUACCACUAGCGAAGUGAAACAGACAUAGAUCGAGUUGAGAGCAAAGGAUUGUACGGGAAAGAAAGGU